rnacentral:rRNA from 1 species
CACACAGCUCAGUAACACGUGGCUAACCUGCCCUUGGGACGAGAACAUCCCCGGGAAACUGGGGUCAAUUCUCGAUAGGUGAAGAUACCUGGAAUGGUUUUUUGCCCAAAGGACGUUUGGGUCAUGCUUCUAGACGUUGCCCAAGGAUGGGGCCGCGGCCGAUCAGGCUGUUGGUGAGGUAACGGCUCACCAAACCUUUGACCGGUUCGGGCCGUGGGAGCGGUAGCCCGGAGAUGGGCACUGAGACAAGGGCCCAGGCCCUACGGGGCGCAGCAGUCGCGAAAACUUCGCAAUAAGCGAAAGCUUGACGGGGCCAUCCCGAGUGCCAUCUGCUGAGGAUGGCUUUUACCCAGUAUAGAUAGCUGGGGGAAUAAGGAGAGGGCAAGUCUGGUGUCAGCCGCCGCGGUAAUACCAGCUCUCCGAGUUGUGGGGACGUUAAUUGAGUCCUGAAGCAUCCGUAACCGGCUGUGAGAGUCCCCUGUUAAAAUCAAACUAUCGAUACUUAGGCCUGCGGGGGAUAUUGCUUUGCUAUGG